ensembl:snRNA U6 U6 spliceosomal RNA
GUGCUUGCUUCAGUAGUACAUAUGCUAAAAUUGGAACAAUACAGUGCAUGGUCCCUGUGCAAGGAUGACAUGCAAAUUCACAAAGCAUUCCAUAUUUUC